rnacentral:rRNA from 1 species
GCGGUGAAAUGCGUAGAUAUCAGGAGGAACACCUGUGGUGUAGACGGCUCUCUGGACCGCAACUGACGCUGAGACACGAAAGCGUGGGUAGCAAACAGGAUUAGAUACCCUGGUAGUCCACGCCCUAAACGAUGCAUAUUUGGUGUAGGUCAUUCAGUUGAUCUGUGCCGGAGCUAACGCGUUAAAUAUGCCGCCUGGGGAGUACAGUCGCAAGGCUGAAACUCAAAGGAAUUGACGG